rnacentral:rRNA from 1 species
CCGGGGCUAAUACCGGAUAUGAAAUCUGCGGGCAUCCGCGGAUUUGGAAAGUUUUUCGGUUGGAGAUGAUCUCGCGGCCUAUCAGCUUGUUGGUGAGGUAAUGGCUCACCAAGGCGACGACGGGUAGCCGGCCUGAGAGGGCGACCGGCCACACUGGGACUGAGACACGGCCCAGACUCCUACGGGAGGCAGCAGUGGGGAAUAUUGGGCAAUGGAGGAAACUCUGACCCAGCGACGCCGCGUGCGGGAUGAAGGCCUUCGGGUUGUAAACCGCUUUCAGCAGGGAAGAAGCGAAAGUGACGGUACCUGCAGAAGAAGCACCGGCUAACUAUGUGCCAGCAGCCGCGGUAAUACAUAGGGUGCAAGCGUUGUCCGGAAUUAUUGGGCGUAAAGAGCUCGUAGGUGGUUCGUCACGUCGGAUGUGAAACUCUGGGGCUUAACCCCAGACCUGGCAUUCGAUACGGGCGAGCUUGAGUAUGGUAGGGGAGUCUGGAAUUCCUGGUGUAGCGGUG